rnacentral:rRNA from 1 species
GACGAACGCUGGCGGCGUGCUUAACACAUGCAAGUCGAACGGAAAGGCCUUUUCGGCGGUACUCGAGUGGCGAACGGGUGAGUAACACGUGGGUGAUCUGCCCUGCACUCUGGGAUAAGCCUGGGAAACUGGGUCUAAUACCGGAUAGGACCGCACUUUAGUGUGUGUGGUGGAAAGUUUUUUGGGUGUAGGAUGUGCCCGCGGCCUAUCAGCUUGUUGGUGGGGUAAUGGCCUACCAAGGCGGCGACGGGUAGCCGGACUGGGAGGUUGGUCUGCCACAUUGGGACUGAGAUACGGCCCAGACUCCUACGGGAGGCAGUAGUGGGGAAUAUUGAGCAAUGGGCGCAAGCCUGAUGCAGCGACGCCGCGUGGGGGAUGACGGCCUUCGGGUUGUAAACUCCUUUCGCCAGGGACGAAGCGUUUUGUGACGGUACCUGGAGAAGAAGCACCGGCUAACUACGUG